rnacentral:rRNA from 1 species
ACAUGCAAGUCGAACGGCAGCACGGACUUCGGUCUGGUGGCGAGUGGCGAACGGGUGAGUAAUGUAUCGGAACGUGCCCAGUAGCGGGGGAUAACUACGCGAAAGCGUAGCUAAUACCGCAUACGCCCUACGGGGGAAAGCAGGGGAUCGCAAGACCUUGCACUAUUGGAGCGGCCGAUAUCGGAUUAGCUAGUUGGUGGGGUAACGGCUCACCAAGGCGACGAUCCGUAGCUGGUUUGAGAGGACGACCAGCCACACUGGGACUGAGACACGGCCCAGACUCCUACGGGAGGCAGCAGUGGGGAAUUUUGGACAAUGGGGGAAACCCUGAUCCAGCCAUCCCGCGUGUGCGAUGAAGGCCUUCGGGUUGUAAAGCACUUUUGGCAGGAAAGAAACGUCAUGGGCUAAUACCCCGUGAAACUGACGGUACCUGCAGAAUAAGCACCGGCUAACUACGUGCCAGCAGCCGCGGUAAUACGUAGGGUGCAAGCGUUAAUCGGAAUUACUGGGCGUAAAGCGUGCGCAGGCGGUUCGGAAAGAAAGAUGUGAAAUCCCAGAGCUUAACUUUGGAACUGCAUUUUUAACUACCGAGCUAGAGUGUGUCAGAGGGAGGUGGAAUUCCGCGUGUAGCAGUGAAAUGCGUAGAUAUGCGGAGGAACACCGAUGGCGAAGGCAGCCUCCUGGGAUAACACUGACGCUCAUGCACGAAAGCGUGGGGAGCAAACAGGAUUGGAUACCCUGGUAGUCCACGCCCUAAACGAUGUCAACUAGCUGUUGGGGCCUUCGGGC